rnacentral:lncRNA from 1 species
UUUUUGUAUGAGGCUGAGAAACUGGGGAUGGGUGAGGUUGUAUCAAACCCUUCCACGGUUUUGUGCCCAAUACAUAAAAGUUUAUAUUUUUAUGACAUUGACCUUAUGUUAUUUUAAACUGCAACUUAAAUUAGUACAUUGAUAGCUAUUUAAAUUGUAACACGAAUUUCAAACUUAUUUUUAUCCCUUUAUGAACCCCUGAUUUUUGAAAAAGUGUUCCAUGAUGAAAUGACUUUGCACAAAAUAUAGCUGUGUUACUAUAUUUAGGAAAUAUACACAACUAGUUGCAUUAUAUAUGCAAUUUGAAUUGACUGACAUAAUUUCCAUAGUAUUACAUGAUUUGCUAUGGUAAACAAUAAAUGUUGUGCCACAGGUAAUAAACAUGUGAAGAAUAUGCUAAAUCCUAGCAGUACAAAAAAAAAGUGGACCAAAUUUUAUGCACAUAUCAGCUCAAACCGAACAAUUCAGUCCCUCCCUUUAAUCCAUCUCUCCUACUUGUGAGGGCCUGAAUACCUAACACAUUAAAAAUGUUCACUAAGCCUGGAUUGUAAUUGGUGUCUUGUAGAAGAGAGGAUCUAUCAGCAAUCAUCUCAAUUUUGAUGAGAUCUGUAAAUCCAGAGCUAAUUCUGAAUGGUUGAUUGAAGACUUUUUAUUGUCUAUGCAUUCAGGCGUUAAUAAAGUAACUGUAGAUCAGGUGAAUAUAACGACUGAAUUAUUUGGGUUAAUAUCAGCUAUCAAAUCUGAUCUCGAAGAUGUGAUGUUGCAUCAAGGCA